AAUAAACGUGAGUGGGAGAACAUGAGCUCUGCCCAAGGAAAUAACAUAUAGACACACAUGCACUCAAUGUGGCAUCACAGAUAUAAGUGGUGUGCGUCACUACGGAUGUUUAGAUCAGCAAUGGAGAGAAGAAUUGCAGUAUGUUAUUGCAGCAGGAAACCUGGAAUCUGAUUCAGCAAAAUCCAGGGGUACCUCUGGACACAUGCCCUGCCCCUCUGAUGACAGCUGUAAGCAACAGAAGUGAUGCUCUCAUCCACAGCCAUUAAUGAAUGCACGGAACAGAAGAAUUCAUAUACGAGUCAAGGGAUGUUUUUCCUUUCUGCAUGGGACAUGGAUGUGAUGAACUAUCUUCAUUUUUGAAUGAAUUGGUGUUAUCUUCUGUCCAAGUGAGUUGGGAGCCGAGCAAACACCAGUCAAAGCCAGAGAGCCCAGUGUCAGUAUGCAGUGGAAUGUCUGCGGUAUCAGCUAUAGGCAUAGUCCCAGAUUGCCAGUCUGCUGCAGUGCAACUCUUCAAGCCUAUGCUGAGAUCAUCCCAAGGGAUGGGGUGUCCAAGCACAUUUAGUGUGAAGCCUAACUUUUGCUCAUGUAAUCUUUGAAAGGUCUUGGAGAAUAGGAGAGGUGCCUGAAGACUGAAGGAUAGCCAAUGUUACAGCAGUUUUCAAAAAGGGCAAGAAGGAGGAGCCACAGGGGUUGUAGAGUUUCCUCCUCUGGAGAUAUUCAAGGCCUAUAUGGAUGCCUUCCUGUGUGACCUGCUGUUGGGAACCUGCUUUAGUAAGGGAGCUGGACUUGAAGAUCUCUAGAGGUCCCUUCCAAACACUGCAACUCUAUAAUCCUGUGAUUCUUUACAGAACAUAUGGUGCCCCAAUCUCCCCACAUGCAGCCAUCUCAAGUUCAGCCAUUCCGAGCAGAGUAUUAACACUAUUGCCAGUAGGGCAGAAAGAUGGCACAAGUUUAAAACCAACCGUCAGCUGCCACUCUUCACCUCACUGAGUAAAACUGCUGUGCAGCCCAUAUAGCCCAAAUGCAUCAGACUUGCAUUGCAUCUUACCUCCAAGCAAGAGCAGCCAGCAGAUGAUUUUUAGCCAUGAUCCUUUGCAGGCUAAACUUAAGGGGUUGGAAAUCUCCAGCUGGCCAAGCAUUUUGGAUGGAAGUGUGUAGUGGGGCCACAGGCAGGUUACCUGACAUCCAGAGGAAAAAGGCUGUGACCUAAAAGCCAUUCUUGUGAGUAACGUGAGCCCUGGUUCCUCGCACAAUCAUCCUGCUGUCUCACGUUGCAUUACUAGCAUACAGAUUGUUCUGUUCAGCCUUCAUCCAUCCAAGAGCUGUCAGCAUCUAGCUCUUCAACUCAGCAGUUCACAGGGGCUUUCUUGCUUUGCUUUGUUCAGGUUUAGAAAAUAAAAAAAGCACAUUCAUGAGCUUUGUGCACUGUAUCCAUUUGCUCUGAGAAUUUGCUGGUAGUGACACGUGAAGAAAAAUUACUCAUGACAAUAAAGGCUAUAAUGUAUUUUCCCUACUAUUUUGGACCAAAAGAUGUAUGUACUCGAGUGCGUGGGUGUUAGAGAGAAAGCAAGAGAGUGAGUGCAUGCGUGCGCUUAAAUGCAAUUGCCAUUUUAUCUUGUUUUUCCUCUUAAAUUUCUCUAUGCUUUCCCUCAUUUUUAAAGAGAUUUCUUAGACCCCUGUCUUCUUCCUCCCAUCUUCAGAAGCUCAGCCUUACUGCCACCAGCAAGUGUGGCCACCAGCCAUUUUCCACCAACUUCUCUGUAAAAUCUACGGCCCCCAUCCUGUAACCACAUCCAUUAGCUCUGGAAGAGCAGAAUGAUCUUGUCACUUUUUCCUUCUAACUGUAAAAUAAAACCAGCAGAGAGCAAGGGCGUUCAUGCCACUUGAGUUGGCACCUUCCUCCAAUCUUCAACCUCGUCCUAUCUCCAAAGGGCCUUUCUUUAUUGCUUCCAGUUUCCCUUAAAGGAAUUUUUAGCACCCACCUCUUACCAGCUUCAUUGGCACCAACAGACCAUUCAGUGCAAGUCCUUGGAGACCCCCACUGCACACCUGGGCCACCAAGGAGAAGGACUCUUGAUGCAGCACCGAAUGACCAACUAUUGCUGCUGCUGAGACUACCUGUUCCUAGCAGCAGACUGCAGACAAUCCCCAUACCAGCAGAAAUUGCCCAAGAAAGAGGCCCUAUAUGGGGGGUGAUGGCACACUGU